rnacentral:tRNA from 1 species
GGAAAAGUGGCUGAGCGGUCAAAGGCGGCAGACUGUAAAUCUGUUGAUGUUUCAUCUUCAGAGGUUCGAAUCCUCUCUUUUCCA